GAUGAACGCUGACAGAAUGCUUAACACAUGCAAGUCGAUGGGGAAGUGGUGCUUGCACCAUGGUAACCAUGGCGGACGGGUGAGUAACGCGUAAGGAACUUGCCUGCGUGACUGGGAUAACAGCAGGAAACUGCUGAUAAUACCGGAUAAGGUCAUUAAGCUGCAUAGCUUAGUGAUGGAAGGAGGCGCCUGCGGAGAGCCUUGCGGCCUCUUAGCUAGUUGGAGGGGUAACGGCCCACCAAGUCGAAGAUAGGGAGCCGGCCUGAGGGGGUGGACGGCCACAAGGGGACUGAGAUACGGCCCUUACCGCUACGAGAGGCAGCAGUGGAGAAUAUUGGAAAAGGGGGGCGACCCUGGUACAGCAAUCGUGUGUGGAAGAAGACGGUUUUCGUAUUGUAAAGUGCUCUCAGGAGAGAAGAAGGAAGUGACGGUACCUGGAGAAGAAGCGACGGCUAAAUACGUG
rnacentral:rRNA from 1 species